rnacentral:rRNA from 1 species
AUGUUAGCGGCGGACGGGUGAGUAACACGUGGGUAACCUACCUAUAAGACUGGGAUAACUCCGGGAAACCGGGGCUAAUACCGGAUAAUAUUUUGAACCGCAUGGUUCGAUAGUGAAAGACGGUUUCGGCUGUCACUUAUAGAUGGACCCGCGCCGUAUUAGCUAGUUGGUAAGGUAACGGCUUACCAAGGCGACGAUACGUAGCCGACCUGAGAGGGUGAUCGGCCACACUGGAACUGAGACACGGUCCAGACUCCUACGGGAGGCAGCAGGU